UACGGAGGGUGCAAGCGUUGUCCGGAUUUAUUGGGCGUAAAGAGCGUGUAGGCGGCCAGGUAGGUCCGCUGUGAAAACUCGAGGCUUAACCUCGAGAUGUCGGUGGAAACCAUCUGGCUAGAGUCCGGAAGAGGAGAGUGGAAUUCCUGGUGUAGCGGUGAAAUGCGCAGAUAUCAGGAAGAACACCCGUGGCGAAGGCGGCUCUCUGGGACGGUACUGACGCUGAGACGCGAAAGCGUGGGGAGCGAACAGG
rnacentral:rRNA from 1 species